UAUACAAUAUCAUGAUUAAUAUUUUUUCUUCUCAUUGUGCCAUUGUCAGCCUAUCAACCUAUUUCUUGUCAAUGCACAGCUUUUUCAACCUUCCACUACUGUACCAUUUCCUAGCUAUCACUUGGCUAGCCUAUGAAGCUAACAAUUAACGAGGCAGAAAGCUACAACACAUUAUGGCAAACGUGGAUGAGACAGAGGGAGUCAGCGAUGUAAACAUGACGGAAAACAGAGACAUUCCUGAUCACCUGAUCAUCAUCAUCAUUUUUCUGCUUGUGUUUAAUGUGGUGGUUGGUUAUCCUGGAUACAAUCAUUAGAAAAAAGAAAGAUAGAAAAUUACCAGAUGCACCUGCAUCGCCUGAGCAAAACUUCCCACUGGAAAAUAUCUGUUGCAGUACAAUUCAUUGAACAGCUCCAGCAUAUUCAGAAAGAAAGAAAGAAAAAAAACUUUAUUGCUUUUAAAAGUUGAAGUCAACAUGAAAAAAAAACUAUCCCAACACAUUAAACAUGCUGUACAAAGAUCAAUUCUGAAAUCCAUUAAAAUACAUAUAAAACCAGGUAAGAAUGUGCAUUUGAUAUUUUACUGUAUACUGAUGUUCUAAAGUACCUAAAUGCUGUGAUGCUAUGAAAAAAAAUCAUAUACAUUUCUGUGCAAGUGACAAAAGGCUGAGCUCUGAAUUAAAUAAAACCAAUAUCUACAGAUCCAAACUCACAUUAAAGAUUUGUUUUUCUUUACUUUAAUGCAACCAAAAAUUUCAACUGCAUUUUCCAGCUCUUAAAACCUGCCAUGUAUAAUAACUCAUGAAAGCAUGUUUAUGCGCCAUUACCAUUCCCUUAUCAUUCCAAGUGACUCAAAAAGAAAUGUUUCAGAUAAGGAAACACACAUUCCUACAAAGCACUUUCCCCCACCUUCUCUAUGUAGAUACAAUCAAAGUCAUUAUGUUGAUUAUUUGCAGAGUGAGAACAAUGAGAAGAGGUUUCCACAUAAUUUCGAUUUUAAAGUGCAGACAGCUUUACCCAGACUUUACAUACAAAUUUGUACUUUACAGGAAUAUGAUAUGAGAUUUACAAAUAAGAUAAGGCAUGUAAACUGCUAGCAUUGACAGCUUCAGUAAGGCAUGAAUAAAAGACUAGCAGCAUUAUCAGUUUUACAGUUCUUACUCAAAUAUAGCAAGCAGGAUCAGACAGAAAUGCACACAUCAGAGCGUUACAAACUUCCUUUAUAACAUGGUUAUAAAAGAUAAGCAGCGAUCUCAAUACAGCACAGUUUAUGAUUAACUAGGUCUGGCACAGGAGAAAGAAGAGGAAACACAGCCAUGGAAACAAUUUCAAGUUAAAUAAAUACAUUAUUGAUGGUAAGUGAAUAGUAACCAUCUGCAUGUAAAACACUGCCAUCAAAAAAAAAAAAAAAAAUGUAAACAUAUAAGGCAACAGUGCCAUGGUUAUUGGUUUAUUUUUUGAAUGACAUUUUAGCCGUAGCUUUGUGUGAUAACUUUUUAAUCAUAACUGUAUGACUUUCCACUGCAUUAUAUUUAGUGCAUUACAUUUACACUGAUUAUAUUGUAUUACCAGUUUUAACAACCGUUACACAUUUAACAGAUUUUUUUCUACUCUAAAAAAAAGGUAAAUGGGACCUGUGACAAAUUAUUACGAAAAAUGUUCUGCAGUGUUCUCACACACCUCCGCACUACAAAUGUUCUCAAAUGGACUUUCUUUCAAGAAUGAAUGGGGAAUGUUUUGAGUUCAUUAAUUUAAAAUUUUACUUUAUAGUACAUUUUAUUUACUAACAUAACUAUAUAUAUUGGAAAGCACCAUGAAAACAGUUUUGCUAAAAAUGUAAAAGACAUUGGAAAGGUUUGACUUAAAAACAAUGAAGUGUUAAAUUAUUUAAAACACUGUUUUGGGGUUUAUCGUGUGUGUGUGUCAGCCAUGUGGGCCUGGUACAACAAAAACGGUUAUAUCAAACCCUUAUUAUUAUGUUAACUGGGUGAUUGUUGCUGGUGUUAAGCAGUCCAACAGAGCUACAAAUGGCAUUAUUUUUAUAUCCUCCAAUAAUGUCAAUAAACGGUAUAAUAAUAGGUGGAAAUCUUUUUAGGGUACUAGAUGAUUAAAACAAUUUGUCAUUUUUAAUAGCAAACUGUGAGCAGGGAAAAUCUAUAUCACACAAAACCUAAUCAGCAGUAGAUAUAAAUAACAAAUACAAUUCAAGCAAUGUUCUGUGGGUAUAAUAUAUAAUUAAAAAUAUUGCAAAGAUACCAAAUCACCCGGAAAAUAUUUACACAUCAGAAGACUUAUCUAUAUGUCAGAAUGGGCAAUUUGUGUCCUAUUCAGAAUGUGUUCUCAGUUUUCCUUAGACAGCCUGAAGAUGAAUAAAUAAAGCGGGUAUGCCAAAAAUAGCAUGAUAAUUGAAGAUAUGUUCAUGAUUCACAGUAUGUAUCAUGAUUCAGUUAGAAUGAGGUUUACACUAACACACACAGAAUGCUCUUUUUAUAUUAAUAUUUUGGAAAUGGAAAGAAGACAAUGUUAAUAUUCUUUCAGUUAUUUGUCAGUCUGACUAACAAUGGUGUGAGCCAAUGUUGUAGAAUUCCUAAUCGUAGCCACAAUAUAAAAGUCUGCAUAUUUUAUUGUAAUAAUAUCAAAUUCAUAACAUCUUCCACCCAUAAUCACAAUACUCAGUUUGGUCAGUUAAUUUUUUAAAUAACUAUCACAUGAAUAAAUUACUGUCAACUGUUGAUUACUGCAAUAUUGAUAUUACUUUGUCAUAUUGCCCAAGACUACAACAUUCACAGGCAAAUUAAACCAUACAUCAAGCACUUGCUUGCUUUUUAAUGCUGGAGUAAUAUGACAGAUUCCUUUAGUAAACCAGCCAUGUCCAUGUGUGCUGAAGCUACGCAUGUUCUAGGGCACAGGGG